rnacentral:lncRNA from 1 species
GUUUAUGUGAUCUUGUGAUGAUCUUAUGUAAAGUGGAGAGCAUUGUGAUUUAAAGUAUGAUUUUCUCAUGAUGUAUAUAUGAAAUGAUGUUGGAUUAUGAAGUAUCCUUAAAUGAAAAUGUUGUGACUUGGUUGGUAGACUAAAGUGUCCCUCCUUGUUACUUAAAGUCUUGAAUGCAUGAAUGUGUGAAAUGGGCAAAACUAAGAAAUGGUGCCCUUUCUAUAAAUGCUAAAAGAGGAAUUCUAGGCCAAGACUUGAAUCGGC